rnacentral:tRNA from 1 species
GCUGUAAUAGCUCAGUUGAUUAGAGUGUGGCUGUUAACCAUAAGGUUGGAGGUUUGACCCCUUCUACUAGUG